UCAGUCUUUUAAAAAUUAAAAAAAAAAAAAUCCAAUAAUUCACAAAAGAAAGAAAGAAAGAAAUCUGUAAUUAUAAAUAUGAAUUCUCUUUUACUCACCAUUAAAAUUCAGACAUGAAAGCUCAAAACCAUACGCCAUUACAUUGUGGAAGUACGUACACGAGAUCUAAUUGAGUCUUCGUGAUUUCCCGGCCAAGAUCAUGACCAUACCAUUUGCUCAAUCCGGCACGAGUCCUCCACAUCUGCUGCAUUCAUCUGGCCAUCUAUGGCAAAUCUAUACUUCUUUGAAUGGGAUGAAGAAGAGUUGGAGUAAUACACUCCAUCAUUAUAAUCAAAGCAAGUAGAAGUGUUCGGGUAGGAUGGAGAAUUCAUUGGCUUUCGCAGCUCACGAAAAGCACACCUCUUGAUCGUGAUAUUGGGGUGUACGGAUCCCAAGAACAAAGAUUGCCGACACUUGUAAGAACAUAAAGAGGGAUGGUGGAGAAAUUAUUCUUCUGAAGUUCUGAGUCUAUUACUCGGAUUAUGAAGUUAUUGUAAAAUUGAUUAUCCGUACGUGUUUUGUUGUUCUCACAUGACAGCUUAUAUCUGGAGCACAGUGAUGACUAUCCUUGAUACUGCAAGUUUGAUGGACCAUCGACAAUAAGAACAAUGAGGGCAGUGAGUGCUGCAGAGAAGGGCAUUCCUCUGUCCCUUGACAGAGAGAUCGAUCAGACAGAGAGAGAUGGGUAUAGCUUCCAAAGCUGUUGACAAACAUAUUAUAAGUGAAUGUUAGAGAGUACCAAGAGCAUUUUGCCGAUAGCCCAAGUGCUAUAGAACUUUUCCUGAGCUUUACUGAUCAUUGACCAAGAUAACAUUGUCUGCACAUUUACAGUACUCGGCCUCCUUUCCCUGCUACGCCUAAACUGAUGGCUGUAUAUCCCAUGACCCAUUUAAGCUCCGUGAGAUGUUUGUGACUUUGAAUCUUCUUUAUGAUCGAAAUUGUUGCGUAGAAGAUGAGAAAAAGCCGAGUAAAGUGGUAGGCUAGUUUGAUAUACUUCAAUGAAGGUUCAGUAACAAGGCCCCAGUGGUGAGGGGGACGGCCAGAAUCUGUGUUAUUUACCCAGUUUCAAUAAUAUAGUAGAAGCUGCAGAGUUUCGAUGGCAGAAAGAUAUUUCACUCCAUCGGCUGUAAUUUUUUGGAUGAAAUGGAAAAGAUAGAUGGCAGAAAUGUAAUUAGCAAUGACAGAAAGAUAGAUGAACAUAAAUAAAUAAAUGAAGUAAGCAUUAUUGCCAUGUUAUAGCACCCAUCCUUUUAAGUUUUUUAGUAGUUGUUGAUGAGUAUUAUCUUCUUAACUGUGCUGAAUUGGUUUCUUCUUUGACGCAUGCACAUUUGAAGAGCGUGGAUGAGGAGUGAACAGAAAUUAACUUUGGAGUGAGAGAUGUACUGAUACCAGAGUAUUUGAAUGCUUGUUGGGAAUCAAGUGUGAAGUUCUUGCCUUUGAUAAUAAUUUCAAACAACUCCGAUUAUAACUUUACUAAUCCUUUUCGGGUAUUGAUCUAAA